rnacentral:rRNA from 1 species
GGGCGGCGUUCAUUUAUUGACGCGCUCGGCACCUUACGAGAAAUCAAAGUCUUUGGGUUCUGGGGGGAGUAUGUCGCAAGGCUGAAACUUAAAGGAAUUGACGGAAGGGCACCACCAGGAGUGGAGCCUGCGGCUUAAUUUGACUCAACACGGGGAAACUCACCAGGUCCAGACACAAUAAGGAUUGACAGAUUGAGAGCUCUUUCUUGAUUUUGUGGGUGGUGGUGCAUGGCCGUUCUUAGUUGGUGGAGUGAUUUGUCUGCUUAAUUGCGAUAACGAACGAGACCUUAACCUCUAAAUAGGGCUGUUAGCAUUUUGCUGGCGAGCGCUUCUUAGGGGGACUAUUGACUUGAAGUCGAUGGAAGUUUGAGGCAAUAACAGGUCUGUGAUGCCCUUAGACGUUCUGGGCCGCACGCGCGCUACACUGACGGAGCCAAGCGAGUUGACCUUGGCCGAGAGGUCUGGGAAAUCUUGAGAUCAUCCGUCGUGC